rfam:Grosmannia clavigera kw1407 unplaced genomic scaffold GCSC_179, whole genome shotgun sequence.
ACGUACGGCCAUAGAUACUGGAAAACACGGGAUCCCGUCCGCUCUCCCCUAGCUAAACCAGUAAUCGGCGGAUUAGUAGUUGGGUCGGUGACGACCAGCGAAUACCCGCUGCUGUACGUU